GGACGUCCUGGUUUCCUAACUGCUCCCACAAAUGCCCUCUGUACCCUGCUGGGUUCCAUCUGGCCACACUCCAGUGCCUCUCCCAGAGGAAGGCAUGCCAAAUUCCUGACACGUGGCGUUUGAAAAUACCAUGGAACGUUUCCACUCGUGGAUUUCACCAUGUUCUCCAGUGAAUAUUUUAGCAAGCUAAAAAUGUGACUCCUCGGUCAUGAGAACACUAAGUCCAUAUGAUUCGAAAAGAGCAAUAAUGCUGGAACUUUGAUCCAAUUAUCAGCAAGUCCUCUUCCAGGAGAUUAAAUGUCUUAUAGUAUUUUAUAAUUUGCUUAGCAGGUAUUUAUCCUUUAGUGAAAACCAAUGGUCUUAGAAGAGAGCAGCAAAAGAUGCUGACAAAUCAUUUAAAUGGCUAAGUGGUCAUUCUUGCUGGCCUAAUAAAAGUCCAUUUCUAGGAAGACGAAACCUCAGCUUCUUAUAAAUCAUCAAUUAU
rnacentral:lncRNA from 1 species